rnacentral:SRP_RNA from 1 species
GAAAGUUGGUAGUGGACGAAUGCCCUUUCAAACAGGUCAGGUCUGGAAGGAAGCAGCCAUGGGAGGUCUCAUUCGGGUUAUUACUAGCUUUCCAA